AUCCAUUAGCAACAGUCCUUAGUGCUGCAAUGCUAUUGCGGUAUGGCCUUGGUGAAGAGAAUGCUGCAAAAAGGAUUGAGACUGCAGUAAUGGAAACACAAAUAGAGUUUUCGAACUGGUGACAUAAUUUCUACAGGCAUGACAUUGGUAGGGUGCAAGAGGAUGGGAGUGGAAGUGCUGAGGUCUGUCGAUUCCCAGACAGCAUUAACUGCCUCACUCUGAAAUCAUUUGUUCACUGACAUCGCAAAGGGGAGAGUUGCUAGAAAGAUCUUAAACCAAGGAGAUGCAUUACAGGGAAGAACUGCAUGAUUAUAUUCUCUGAUGAAUUUAUGAUAGUCUCUUACUAAAGGACAAUUCAUAGACGUUAUUCAAGGACAAUAUAUGCUUGAAACUCAAUGUUGUAUGCGAUUCUGGCGAAGGUUUGCAUAUGAUUUUGCAUGUUUGCAGGAUUGAGUCUUUAUUUUUAACUGUCAGAUGGCUUUGAAUAAAAUUAUAGAAAAGGUUUUGUCAUC